GUGCUCACUUUGCCAGCACAUAUACUAAAAUUGGAAAAAUAUAGAGAAGACUAGUAUGGCCUGUGCUCAAGGAUGACAUGCAAAUUAGUGAAGCAUUCCAUAUUUUU
rnacentral:snRNA from 1 species